rnacentral:rRNA from 1 species
GAUGAACGCUGGCGGCGUGCUUAACACAUGCAAGUCGAACGAUGAAGCCCAGCUUGCUGGGUGGAUUAGUGGCGAACGGGUGAGUAACACGUGAGUAACCUGCCCUUAACUCUGGGAUAAGCCUAGGAAACUGGGUCUAAUACCGGAUAGGAGCGUCCACCGCAUGGUGGGUGUUGGAAAGAUUUAUCGGUUUUGGAUGGACUCGCGGCCUAUCAGCUUGUUGGUGAGGUAAUGGCUCACCAAGGCGACGACGGGUAGCCGGCCUGAGAGGGUGACCGGCCACACUGGGACUGAGACACGGCCCAGACUCCUACGGGAGGCAGCAGUGGGGAAUAUUGCACAAUGGGCGCAAGCCUGAUGCAGCGACGCCGCGUGAGGGAUGACGGCCUUCGGGUUGUAAACCUCUUUCAGUAGGGAAGAAGCGAAAGUGACGGUACCUGCAGAAGAAGCACCGGCUAACUACGUG